rnacentral:rRNA from 1 species
UGGGGAAUUUUGGACAAUGGGGGCAACCCUGAUCCAGCAAUGCCGCGUGUGUGAAGAAGGCCUUCGGGUUGUAAAGCACUUUUGUCCGGGAAGAAAUCGCACCUGAUAAUACCGGGUGUGGAUGACGGUACCGGAAGAAUAAGGACCGGCUAACUACGUGCCAGCAGCCGCGGUAAUACGUAGGGUCCAAGCGUUAAUCGGAAUUGCUGGGCGUAAAGCGUGCGCAGGCGGUUGUGCAAGACCGAUGUGAAAUCCCCGGGCUUAACCUGGGAAUUGCAUUGGUGACUGCACGGCUAGAGUGUGUCAGAGGGGGGUAGAAUUCCACGUGUAGCAGUGAAAUGCGUAGAGAUGUGGAGGAAUACCGAUGGCGAAGGCAGCCCCCUGGGAUAACACUGACGCUCAUGCACGAAAGCGUGGGGAGCAAACAGG